rnacentral:lncRNA from 1 species
GUCACUCUCAGAGGGGCUAUGAGGCCCCCCACUGAUUCAACCCAAUCGCAUCAAAGCUCCUGGAGAUUCACUUUUGGCUGCUUCAUGGAGUGUUGUCUCGGCCCAGCCUCGUGGUGCUGAGAAGAUCUGGGGCUGGAUUUAACAGACAUCACCUGAAGACAGCCCAUCAAAUAGACAUCCCAUGAAAACAGCCCAUCAAAUAGACAGGCAAACAGACAGCCCCUGAAGACAGCCCAUCAAAUAGACAUCCCCUGAAGACAGCCCAUCAAAUAGACAGGGAAACAGACAGCCCCUGAAGACAGCCCAUCAAAUAGACAGGGAAACAGACAGCCCCUGAAGACAGCCCAUCAAAUAGACAGGGAAACAGACAUCCCCUGAAGACAGCCCAUCAAAUAGACAGGGAAACAGACAGCCCCUGAAGACAGCCCAUCAAAUAGACAGGGAAACAGACAGCCCCUGAAGAAAGCAUAGAGAGAGACAUUGCCCAUGAAGACGGCAGAAACAAACCAUGAAGCCAGCCAAGAAAAUACAUAAUUCAUACAUUUUGUGUAAAGAAAGAAAUUAAAUCAGUCUUUUUUAUAAGAAAAAGCGAUUGCCAACAUUUUUUUUUUUACCAAAGCAGUCCCCAGAACAAGAAGGCCGUGUCUUGCUGGUCCCUGGCACAAAAAGUUUGAGAAAGGCUGAUAUAAUAAACAUCCAAGUGGUAAAUUGCAUUUUGUUCU